AACACGUGAGUAACCUGCCCUCCACUUCGGGAUAACCUCGGGAAAUCGUGGCUAAUACCGGAUAUGAGCACUCAUCGCAUGGUGGGUGUUGGAAAGAUUUAUCGGUGGGGGAUGGACUCGCGGCCUAUCAGUUUGUUGGUGAGGUGAUGGCUCACCAAGACGAUGACGGGUAGCCGGCCUGAGAGGGCGACCGGCCACACUGGGACUGAGACACGGCCCAGACUCCUACGGGAGGCAGCAGUGGGGAAUAUUGCACAAUGGGCGAAAGCCUGAUGCAGCGACGCCGCGUGGGGGAUGACGGCCUUCGGGUUGUAAACCCCUUUCAGUAGGGAAGAAGCGAGAGUGACGGUACCUGCAGAAGAAGCGCCGGCUAACUACGUGCCAGCAGCCGCGGUAAUACGUAGGGCGCAAGCGUUGUCCGGAAUUAUUGGGCGUAAAGAGCUUGUAGGUGGCUUGUCGCGUCUGCCGUGAAAACCCGAGGCUCAACCUCGGGCGUGCGGUGGGUACGGGCAGGCUAGAGUGUGGUAGGGGAGACUGGAACUCCUGGUGUAGCGGUGAAAUGCGCAGAUAUCAGGAAGAACACCGAUGGCGAAGGCAGGUCUCUGGGCCAUUACUGACACUGAGAAGCGAAAGCAUGGGUAGCGAACAGGAUUAGAUACC
rnacentral:rRNA from 1 species